rnacentral:rRNA from 1 species
GUAGUCAUAUGCUUGUCUAAAAGAUUAAGCCAUGCAUGUAUAAGCUAAAGCUGAUAAAUAGUGAAGCCGCGGACAGCUCAUUAAUACACUCAUAAUCUUCGCAAUGCAUCCAAUAUGGAUAUCUGUGCUAAUUUUAGAGCUAAUACACGCAAUCAAGCCCCUUAAUUGGGGAGCAUUUAUUAGAACAAAACCGAUCGGGGUCUCCCCGCUGUUGGUGAAUCUGAAUAACUGUGCAGAUCGCAGGUCUUUGUACCGGCGACACAUUGCAAGAGUGAGUGCCUUAUCAACUGUCGAUGGUAGUAUAUAUGCCUACCAUGGUUAUUACGGGUAACGGAGAAUUAGGGUUUGACUCCGGAGAGGCAGCCUGAGAGACGGCUACCAGUUCUAAGGAACGCAGCAGGCGCGCAAAUUACACAAUGACAGUAAACUGUUGAUGUAGUGACAAGAGGUAACGGGGCGGUCCUCUAUGAGGCCCGUCAUUGUAUUGAGUAAAACUCAAAAUAUUUAACGAAACCAAUUGGAGGGCAAGUCUGGUGCCAGCAGCCGCGGUAAUUCCAGCUCCAAAAGCAUAUAUUAAAGUUGUUGCGGUUAAAAAGCUCGUAGUUGGAUCCAUGACCUCGGAGGGCGGUCCCCCACUGGGUGCGUACUGCUGCUCCGAGUCCUAUCUGUCAGUUUGUCUGUGUUGCCUUUAAUCGGGUGGCACAGGUGACUGACGUGUUUACUUUGAAAAAAAUUAGAGUGUUUAAAGCAGGCGUUGAAUGCCUGAAUAGUGGUGCAUGGAAUAAUGGAAUAGGAUCUCGGUUCUAUUUUGUUGGUUCAAGAGCAUGAGAAAAUGAUUAAGAGGGACAGACGGGGGCAUUUGUAUUGCUGCGUUAGAGGUGAAAUUCUUGGAUCGUAGCAAGGCAAACUACUGCGAAGGCAUUUGCCAAGAAUGUUUUCAUUAAUCAAGAACGAAAGUUAGAGGUUCGAAGGCGAUCAGAUACCGCCCUAGUUCUAACCGUAAACCAUGUCGACUAGCUAUCUGUCAGCGUUAAUAAUGACCUGACAGGCAGCUUACCGGAAACGAAAGUUUCUCGAUUCCGGGGGUAGUAUGGUUGCAAAGCUGAAACUUAAAGGAAUUGACGGAAGGGCACCACCAGGAGUGGAGCCUGCGGCUUAAUUUGACACAACACGGGAAAACUCACCCGGCCCGGACACCGUAAGGAUUGACAGAUUAAUAGCUCUUUCUCGA